rnacentral:rRNA from 1 species
UACGUAGGGUGCAAGCGUUGUCCGGAAUUAUUGGGCGUAAAGAGCUCGUAGGUGGUCUGUUGCGUCGCUGUGAAACCCCCGAGGCUCAACCUCGGGCCUGCAGCCGAUACGGGCAGACUAGAGUUCGGCAGGGGAGACUGGAAUUCCUGGUGUAGCGGUGAAAUGCGCAGAUAUCAGGGAGGGAACACCGGUGGGCGAAGGCGGGUCUCUGGGCCGAUACUGACACUGGAGGA